rnacentral:rRNA from 1 species
CCUACGGGAGACAGCAGUGGGGAAUAUUGCGCAAUGGGCGAAAGCCUGACGCAGCGACGCCGCGUGAGGGAUGAAGGUCUUCGGAGCGUUAACCUCUGUCAGCAGGGAAGAACGGUCACUGUGCUAAUCAGCAGUGAAUUGACGGUACCUGCAAAGGAAGCACCGGCGAAAGCCGUGCCAGCAGCCGCGGUAAUACGGAGGGUGCGUGCGUUAAUCGGAAUUACUGGGCGUAAAGCGCUCGUAGGCGGUAUGUCAAGUCAAGGGUGAAAUCCCCGGGCUCAACGUGGGAACUGCCUGUGAAACUGGCAAGCUGGAGUGUGUGAGAGGAUAGUGGAAUUCGAGGUGUAGGAGUGAAAUCCGUAGAUAUCUGGAGGAACAUCAGUGGCGAAGGCGACUAUCUGGAACAUAACUGACGCUGAGGAGCGAAAGCGUGGGUAGCAAACAGGAUUAGAUACCCCUGUAGUC